GCCAGGUGCAGUGGUGCACGCCUGUAAUCCCAGAGGCUCUGGAGGCUGAGGCAGGAGGAUCACGAGUUCAAAGCCAGCGUCAGCAAUGGCGAGGGGCUGAGCAGCUCAGUGAGAACCUGUCUCUG
rnacentral:sRNA from 1 species